rnacentral:tRNA from 1 species
UAUCGUCUAAUGGAAAAGACAUAGUCCUUCUAAGUCUAAAAUGUAGGUUCAAUUCCUACUAGGUU